AAUCUACAAGGUGUAAAAAAAAAAAAAAAGAAAAAAAAAGUCUUUUUUACACUUUUACAAAUUAUAUUCUGAAUAAAGUAUUUUUGAUCAGUAACUUGAUUAAGAAAAAUUAGGGUAAAACCUGAAAAUGUGUUGUGCGGGGUUGAAACUGUUAAUAAAGUGCGAGAGGCGGUAGUAAUGAUCUGGCUCUGGGCUUCCACCUAAAUUAUAUUUGUAUCAAAAUGGUUUAAUGCUUGAGAAGACAUUAAAAAUUCCAUCAUUGAGGUUUUCAUGGAGGUGGUGGGAAAAAAUAAGGUGCUUGGGCUGUUUCAAACCCGAGCUUAAUUCUCUCUUUGGAAAUAAACUCUGCCAAGGAGGAAGGAAAACAACGAAGAUAGAAAAUGUUAAGACGCAGACAUGGCUUCAGUUUUGGUCUUGUAUUGACAGUGUCUCUGGCUAAACUGGGUUUAUUAAUUUGAAAGUAGUAAGGAAAAGAGCGGCCAGGAUAUGGAGAGGAGGAAGCAUUAUAUCAUUAAAACAAGCAUCAAAUUUCAAGAUGCAUUGGCAAUAGUUGCUCAUUAUGGGCUUUUCCUGAACUUGUUUAUGGUGUAUUUAGUUUGGAGUUUUGUUUUGAUUUUUCCUUCUGGUGUGAUCUACAUCCAGACUCUGACUGGACAGGUUCAGCCAACAGCUUGGUGAUAAACCUGUUUCUUGCAAUCCACUAAUUGCCCCCAGUCUUAGAAUGAAUAUUGCUUCCUUCGGGUGUGUUUGCAAAAUAAAGAGUGCGAAAAAAGAGGUGGGCAGAAUCAUCUGUUCUCUUGCUCUUUCAUUUGAUAAUCAGAACUAUUUCUGUUCAUCAGUUUUAUUCCACUGAUUAAGCUGUCUUGUUAACUAGGCAAGAUCUAAGCAUGUUACCCUAUUUGCAGUGAAAAGCUUUUCUGUUUUGGUAAAUUCUAACCCUUUAGAGUUAUAUCUCUUCCACUCUCUUCCUAACUUUCAGCUUUUACCUUUUCCAUAAAACUAUCAAAGAAACAGUUGGUUUUUCUUUUUUUUUUCUUUUCCCAUUUUCUAUCCAGUAUUCCUGCCUGUUUCCAAUACUAAACAGUAGUCUGUUUUUUAACUUUAAAUGUUAAGAAAGCUUGCCUUACCAGGGGACAUUAGUAAUACCACACAAAUUCUGGUACAGAAGUCCUUUCUUGGGAAGUACACAGUUCAACAUUCCUGCUGUGGUAUAGUCCUAAAGAUGCAUUCUUGACCUGUAGCUUUUUCCCCAUCAAAUUGGGAGCAAGUAUUUAUUAUUACUUCUAAACUAUUAAUAUUUUUAUUUAUGAACAGGAAGACUACAUACUUAAAAGACUGAUCUGCAAAGGACUUGAGUUUGUUGCUUCUAGUUCUUGAAGAACCACAUCCUCUUCGUUAGGCAAACAAUAACCAGAAGACUGGAGAGAUGUCACUUUUAUUAAAAAUGCAGUGUAGUGCAGAACAACAACAUAAAAAGAAUCAACUCAAGCAAAAAUAAGCAUGUCAGAAUCUUACUGAAAUCCAUUAUUUAAAAAAAAAAAAAAAGCAAAUGACGACAAAAAAUCCCAACCAAACAAAACUCCACCAAACUUCAAGACAUUUGGAAAGACAAGAUCAAUAUUUUGAAGAUUCACUGCACAGGACAACCUAGGUAGUAUCCAUUUCUGUAUGGCCUGAUUACCCUCUGCACCAAUAAUAAAAAACGGUACAUUAUUUUUGAUCCUUUAUGUUUGUCUAUAUGACUUCCCUACUUUCACCAGGGUUGGAGGCAGAGUGGGGAGCGUUUCAUUUUUCAGCAAAAGCAUCUCAUUUGAGUAGUUUAUACACAGGUGGCAAAAGCGUGCAACAUUAUUAUCACAUGACAAUCCUUAAUGUCUUCAGUCUGACAACAUGGAGGGUAUACAAAGGGAGACGGUUCCACAUCAUCACUAAAUGCUCAAAGCAGAUAAAUUACACAUUUGCUGUUUGACAGUAAUUGUCGAAAAUGCAGAAUAAUAAAUUACUUUCUGUGCCUUAUUUCUUUCAUCUGAGCAUAUGCUGUGUGUUUAUUUUGAAUGUUUAACUGUUUAUGCAGUUUAAUUGCUGUAAAGCUGGUAUGAGUUAACUUGUGUUUGCCUGAAGCUAUAGAUGACUUUUGAGUGACUUUUACUGAAAAGUACAUCUCGUGUCAGCAGUAGUAGUGGAAGCCACUUCUACCAAUGAGUGCUAUUUUUUGCUUCAGAACAAUGAAUUUUCCAUCUACUACAGUAAUUUAGACAGUUGGUGAUUUUUUUAAAUUUUAUUUUUACUAGUGGAUUUUUUCUAACUUCUGUCAGUUCAUUGCUAAUCUGGAUAUUAUAUCCUCCUAAAGUUAACUUGUUGCAUCCUUAAUACUCCUGAGCUGUGGCAGGAAACUGUUGGCCAUUUCUUUUUACUCGGCUAAAUCAGAGGUACAGACGCAUUGUUUGUUUUGAUGAGAAACUGUUAAUUCAGUGAUUAAUGCAGUGACUCAGUCUUCUGUAGAGAAAAUUAAUUAUCUUUGAUAUCUGUUACAAAAAUGACAGUUUCUUUGAAAAUUGAGCCAGUAUUUAUGGAAUAUCACUGCUUUAAUGUGGUUCUAGAAGUACUAUGCAAGGAUUAAAAUGGUGUGUGUAGGCAGAGAUGGAACUUCUUUUCAAUGGAAGAUAUUUCAGCCAAAGGGUUUGGAGUUCUGUUUUGUUGGUGGGGUUUGGGGGCUAUUGUGAGGUGUCUGGUAGGAGGGCAGAAACAAUAUGUUAUCUCUGAUGAGAUGAUAGAGUCUCUUGAUUCCUUGCCAUGCAGUUGUGAUGAGGGUCAGGCAGUACAGAAAACUUGUGUUGGUUCCAGAAGCACUUCUCUCUACUUGGGUUUGCUUUCCCACAGUGUUGAUGCUGCCCAUUUUAGAAAUUCAAGCAAGAGUAAAAGAGAAGCCUAUUAAUGGAGUAGGUCACUUCUGCAUAUCUGGUAUUAUCAGUCAGGUUAGUUAUUAUGCUGUCCAAAAAAUCUCUGUAGUAGUUGUACUAACAGCUGUACAUGCAUAAAAUGACUUCUGCUAUGGAGUCAGUAAACUAGUUUUCCCCUUGCAGCAGCAAUCAUCAUUAUAUCUUAAAAAUAAUACCCCCCCCCCCCCCCCCCGUCAUUAUUAAAGACUAAACAUUAGCUGUGGACCGAUGCUUGGUUCCCAUUUAACAUUUGUGGAGCUGAUUUUUGUUUGUAGAAGGGUCAGAAUUUGAGCUUGGGGAAUAUGGAGAGAGAUUUUCAAAAUUAGGUAGAGAUUCUUAUACUGAGAAACUUACACUGUUUCUGACUAUGACAAAAUAUACAUCAUUAUUAAAUAUUCAAAACAGAAUGAAGUGUCAAUCUCUGUCAAUUUCUGUAAGAAAAUAAUACAAAUUUCUUUCAGGCUGGACCUUUAACCAAAGUGACGAUUUGUAAGGACAAAGAAGGAAAACCUAAGUCUUUUGGAUUUGUCUGCUUUAAGCACAAAGUGUCAGUGCCUUAUGCAAUAGCUUUGCUGAAUGGAAUCCGCUUGUAUGGAAGACCAAUUAAAGUGCAGUAUCGGUUUGCCCUGAUUUAUGCUUCUGGAAGUGAAUAAAUGAUAAAUGAACAUUUUCAAGCAGCAAGGAUGGUAUAGAUUAUCUGCCAUAAAAAGGUACCAUAUCUUUAUAUACUAGCUUAGAUACACUAGCACACUGCAAAUGACACAGAACACUUUCUGUGGUUUUAAGUUUUUUAAUUGAAUAGUUGUAACUGAAUAGUCAUUAUGCUUUUGUCUUAUUUACAGGGAGUUCUCACUCAGAACUAAACAGCCCUACACAUGGUUUUGAGAACUAUAUUGACUUAUAUUCACCUUCAUAUAGGUAACAAAGAUAACCUGUGAAUGAACUGCAUGAUUAUAAUUUUUAAAAAAUCUUAUUAAGUCAAUUGAUGCAACUGAGCAAUCUUUAGGCUUUUCAUUAUAACAGCUGUUGCAUGCUAUAGUUGCAUCCCUACUGAUGACUUGCAACAGGCUCUAAUUAAUGUUUGGUUGCUUAGCUUGCCAGAAGUUCAGUUAGCUUGAAUUUUCCAUUCUUUCUUUGUUUCUGCAAGAUACAAGACCAUCAGAGAAUACUGAAAUGUGGUGCUUGUACUAAAAAUAUUUGCAUAUGUUAAAGGAAAAAAAAAUAUGACAACAGAGAUUAUCUUUUUAAACCCCACUGAGUUUAUAUCUGUAUUUUUUGUGUGUAUAUGUACAAGCAGCUUUCACGGACAUAUGAAUGCACAGAUAUAAAUCUGUUAUAAUGGAAGUCUGAAUACCCCAGAU